AAGGAUCAUUAAAGUAUCUUUCGGUCUUGCCUGCGCUUUAAUUAGCGCGGCGACCAAACCUUACACACAUUGCUUAGUAUUUUCUAACAUUGCUUUGGGUUUCUUUCGGGAAGCCCAGAGGUUUAAAACACAAGAUUUUAUAUCUUUUUUAUAAACAUUAGUCAAGAAGUUUUCUUAAAAACAAAUCUUCAAAACUUUCAACAACGGAUCUCUUGGUUCUCGCAACGAUGAAGAACGCAGCGAAAUGCGAUACGUAAUGUGAAUUGCAGGUUUUCGUGAAUCAUCGAAUCUUUGAACGCAUAUUGCGCCCUCUGGUAUUCCGGAGGGCAUGCCUGUUUGAGCGUCAUUUCUCUCUCAAACCUUCGGGUUUGGUAUUGAGUGAUACUCUUAACUGGGUUAACUUGAAAUAAAGUUGGCAAGAGCUGCUUCAGCAGAUCUCCUUCUGAACUAACGUUUCUAGGUUCUACCAAUUCGUUAAGGACAGUUGCGUGUCUCUCUAGCUUACAGGCUCGGCCUAACAAUAUUUUACAUAAGUUUGACCUCAAAUCAGGUAGGACUACCCGCUGAACUUAAGCAUAUCAAUAAGCGGAGGAAAAGAAACCAACAGGGAUUGCCUCAGUAACGGCGAGUGAAGCGGCAAGAGCUCAAAUUUGAAAUCUGGUACCUUCGGUGCCCGAGUUGUAAUUUGAAGGUAGUUUUCUGGUGCUGGCCCUUGUCUAUGUUCCUUGGAACAGGACGUCAUAGAGGGUGAGAAUCCCGUCUGAUGGGGUGUCCAGUGCUUUGUAGAUUUCUACCGACGAGUCGAGUUGUUUGGGAAUGCAGCUCUAAGUGGGUGGUAAAUUCCAUCUAAAGCUAAAUAUUGGCGAGAGACCGAUAGCGAACAAGUACAGUGAUGGAAAGAUGAAAAGAACUUUGAAAAGAGAGUGAAAAAGUACGUGAAAUUGUUGAAAGGGAAGGGUAUUGGAUCAGACUUGGUGUUUUGUGAUUAUCUUCCCUUCUUGGGUUGUGCACUCGCAUUUCACUGGGCCAGCAUCGAUUCGGAUGGCAAGAUAAUGGCUUGAGAACGUGGCACUCCUCGGAGUGUGUUAUAGCUCUUGUUGAUGUUGCCUAUCUGGAUCGAGGACUGCGGCUUUUGCCUAGGAUGCUGGCGUAAUGAUUCAAUACCGC
rnacentral:sRNA from 1 species